rnacentral:tRNA from 1 species
GGCCUGUUAGCUCAGUCGGUUAGAGCGUGGUGCAGAUAACACCAAGGUUGUGGGUUUGAUUCUCGUUCGGUCCC